AACUCGAUCUCAAAUCAAGUAAGACUACCCGCUGAACUUAAGCAUAUCAAUAAGCGGAGGAAAAGAAACUAACCAGGAUUUCCCUAGUAACGGCGAGUGAAGCGGGAAAAGCUCAACUUGAAAAUCUGCCGCAAGGCCGAAUUGUAGUCUAUAGAAGUCACCGUCAGUUUAGUCCCUGAUAGAAUUUAGCUGGAACGCUAAGUCAUGGAGGGUGAGAACCCCGUUCGUGAUUGGGAGUACUAGACGUACGACAGGCUUUCAUCGAGUCGGGUUGCUUGGGAGUGCAGCUCUAAAUGGGUGGUAAAUUCCAUCUAAAGCUAAAUAAUGGCAAGAAACCGAUAGCGAACAAGUACCGUGAGGGAAAGAUGCAAAGAACUUUGAAAAGAGAGUUAAAAGUACUUGAAAUUGUCAAAAGGGAAGGAGAUAUCACAAGUGGUGCGCUGUGGUUUAUUGUAGUGGUUGCUUGCAACCGCUGCUCCGAGCUAUAGUGCUUGUCAAUAUGAGUUUCGUUUCGUGGGAUAUGUGCACUUGGGAGGUAACUAUGCUCUUCGGGGUAUAGCGUUAUAGCCAGGUGUAAGUACCAUGGAAUAGACUGAGGAAGAAUGUAACCUUGGCUUUGGCUCUGUUACAUCGAGAUAUUGACGAAAUUGUGCUACCUCGCCCGUCUUGAAACACGGACCAAGGAGUCUAACAUGUAUGCGAGUAGGCGGGUGUAAAACCUUGCUGCGCAAUGAAAGUAAUUGAUGGGAUUCCGCAAGGAUGCACCAUCGACCGAUCAUGA
rnacentral:rRNA from 1 species